GACGAACGCUGGCGGCGUGCCUAAUACAUGCAAGUAGAACGCUGAAGGAGGAGCUUGCUUCUCUGGAUGAGUUGCGAACGGGUGAGUAACGCGUAGGUAACCUGCCUGGUAGCGGGGGAUAACUAUUGGAAACGAUAGCUAAUACCGCAUAAUAUUGACUAUUGCAUGAUAGUCAGUUGAAAGGUGCAACUGCACCACUACCAGAUGGACCUGCGUUGUAUUAGCUAGUUGGUGGGGUAACGGCUCACCAAGGCGACGAUACAUAGCCGACCUGAGAGGGUGAUCGGCCACACUGGGACUGAGACACGGCCCAGACUCCUACGGGAGGCAGCAGUAGGGAAUCUUCGGCAAUGGACGGAAGUCUGACCGAGCAACGCCGCGUGAGUGAAGAAGGUUUUCGGAUCGUAAAGCUCUGUUGUAAGAGAAGAACGAGUGUGAGAGUGGAAAGCUCACACUGUGACGGUAUCUUACCAGAAAGGGACGGCUAACUACGUGC
rnacentral:rRNA from 1 species